rnacentral:rRNA from 1 species
AUUAGUUUUUUAAUUGAAGGCUAGAAUGAAUGGUUGGACAAGAAAUAAUCUGUCUUAAUUAAAUAUAUUGAAUUUAACUUUUAAGUGAAAAGGCUUAAAUAAUCUGAAGGGACGAUAAGACCCUAUAAAACUUUAUAUUUGAAAGUAGUAGUUAAUUUUGUUUAAUAAAGUGUUAUUUAAAAGUAUUUGGUUGGGGUGACAAGGAUAGAAUAUAAAAUAACUGUCUUUUUUUUUUACAGUAAUAUUUGUUUUGAUGAUCCUGAAAUGGAUUAAAGAUUAAGUUACUUUAGGGAUAACAGCGUAAUUUUCUUUAAGAGUUCUUAUCGACAGGAAAGUUUGCGACCUCGAUGUUGAAUUAAAAGUUCUUUAUAGAGUAGAGACUAUAAUAGAAGGUCUGUUCGACCUUUAAAAUUUUACAUGAUUUGAGUUCAGACCGGUGUGAG